GUCUAUGGCCAUACUACCCUGAACUCAUCCUACCUUGCCUGAUCUUAUGAAGCUAAGUAGGAUUGGGCCUGGUUAGUACUUGGAUGUGAGGAAGAACUUUUUUGCAUUCAAUAACAAAAUCCAGCAGUGAGUCU
rnacentral:rRNA from 1 species